AACGAACGCUGGCGGCAGGCCUAACACAUGCAAGUCGAACGCUCGUAGCAAUACGGGAGUGGCAGACGGGUGAGUAACACGUGGGAACCUUCCCUAUGGUUCGGAAUAGCUCAGGGAAACUUGGGGUAAUACCGGAUAAGCCCUUCGGGGGAAAGAUUUAUCGCCAUUGGAUGGGCCCGCGUCGGAGUUAGCUAGUUGGUGAGGUAACGGCUCACCAAGGCAACGAUCCGUAGCUGGUCUGAGAGGAUGGAUCAGCCACACUGGGACUGAGACACGGCCCAGACUCCUACGGGAGGCAGCAGUGGGGAAUAUUGGACAAUGGGCGCAAGCCUGAUCCAGCCAUGCCGCGUGAGUGACGAAGGUCUUCGGAUU
rnacentral:rRNA from 1 species